AUUGAACGCUGGCGGCAGGCCUAACACAUGCAAGUCGAACGAGUGGCGGACGGGUGAGUAAUGUCUGGGAAACUGCCUGAUGGAGGGGGAUAACUACUGGAAACGGUAGCUAAUACCGCAUACCAUCAGAUGUGCCCAUAUGGGAUUAGCUAGUUGGUGGGGUAACGGCUAACCAAGGCGACGAUCCCGAGCUGGUCUGAGAGGAUGACCAGCCACACUGGAACUGCGACGCGGUCCAGACUCCUACGUGAGGCAGCAGUGGGGAAUAGUUCACAAUGGGCGAAAGCCUGAUGCAGCCAUGCCGCGUGUGUGAUGAGGGCCUUCGGGUUGUAAAGUACUUUCAGCGGGGAGGCGUUACCCGCAGAAGAAGCACCGGCUAACUCCGUGCCAGCCGCCGCGGUAAUUC
rnacentral:rRNA from 1 species